GUCAGUGGCUGCUGCCCUCUGUGCUUUUGGCACAACUUCCUGAAACUUCUGUCUGAAACUGAAACUAAAUCAUUUUCUGUACAUUAUCUUAUGUAACUGUAUCUGUUGGCUGUCGGUGACACGUGAGAAGAAAUGCAGGUUCCACAGCUGCUCCUUCGGACUCUGGACGACCUAGUUGAUAGUGAUUUCAAAACGUUUAAUUGGUACCUUACUUCUUGCGCCUCGAAGAGCUACGCACCCAUUCCUAAAUCCCGUCUAGAGAAUGCAGCCCGGAGGGACACUGUGAGUGAAAUGAUACAGAACUACGGAGAAGAGUCGGCUGUGAACAUCACUGUUGAGAUCCUGAAGAAUAUAAACAACAACUUCGCCGCAGAGAAGUUAAAGAAAGAAUACGCAGAGGGAAGAGCUUGAAGGUGGAAGUGAGGUUAUUGCCCAGACGGUCAACGGUUCCACAUCUGGAACAUGGAAUAUAACCAUCAACAAAUAAACUCAUGAAAAAACCAAACCGUGAAGACCAGAAAGGGAAUACACCAUGAGGUUGUGAGACAAAUAUCUUAAUCAUCAGAUGGAUUGUCAUGAAAUUUAUCGCAGACCAAGUCUUAAAAGGACACAUUAUAAAUAUUUGGUAACCCUCCAAUUUUUACUUAAGUGCAAGCCUCACGUUGUUUUCCCCAAAGAAAAUGCACUAACCAAAAUGACAUGUUGUUGCCAACUAUAUAACAUAUGUUUCUUCUGCUAUGUCCAAUUUAUCAGAGUUUUGGACUGCAGUAUUUGAUACAAUUGUUACAGCGUUAGGCAAACCAAUACAUCUUGCCCUCUUCGGGAUACCACCCACCCUCAUUAAGACCCAAACCGAACAACAGGUAAUUGCAUUUACCACUGUCCGCGCAAGGAGGCUCAUUCUUCUAAAAUGGACUCGUUCCUCCACACACAACAAUUGGAUUGUUGAGGUACUGAAAUGUGUUAAGCUUGAAAAAAUCAGGUACUCUUUAAGAGGUCCCCUUCAGACCUUUUACAAAAUCUGGCAACCCUUCUUAGCUCAUAUUGACACAUUGGAUAUCAAUCAAUCAAUCAAUCAAUCAAUCUUUAUUUAUAUAGCGCCAAAUCACAACAAAAGUCAUCGUAAGGCACUUAACACAUAGAGCAGGUCUAGGCCGUACUCUUUAAUAUAAAGAAACCCAACAUUCCCACAUGAGCAAGCACUUGGCGACAGUGGCAAGAAAAAUCUUCCUUUUAAACGGGAAGAAACCUCAGGCAGAACCAGGCUCAAAGUGGGCGGUCAUCUGCCUCGAUAUCAAGAAAGAAACUGAUAACUGAGCCCUGAGCUUGUCCUGCUAAUUAUCAAAUGUUAUCCUUCCAACAUGCUAACCCAAAAAAGGGAACAUGGUCAACAUACAACAAGAACUGUACUGUGUGAGUCCACAUGGACACAUAGGAGGGCUUUCUAAUCUGGAGCUCUUAUUGGCAGUAAUCGUCAAGUCAACAUAAUUUGUCCGUGCUAUGUCUGUGUUUCAUGUACCUAACUGUUCCUCUGUGGUUGUACUGGGCAGCUUCCAAGUAUGAAUGUGUGAAUAUGAUCCGAGUGUUCCUGAAAAAGAAAGCAUUACUCCUCCAAAUAAAUACAAGUUUUUAAAAAAGAA